rnacentral:rRNA from 1 species
CCUACGGGGGGCAGCAGUGGGGAAUAUUGCGCAAUGGGCGAGAGCCUGACGCAGCGACGCCGCGUGAGGGAUGAAUGUCUUCGGAUCGUAAACCUCUGUCAGCAGGGAAGAACGGUCACUGUGCUAAUCAGCAGUGAAUUGACGGUACCUGCAAAGGAAGCACCGGCUAACUCCGUGCCAGCAGCCGCGGUAAUACGGAGGGUGCGAGCGUUAAUCGGAAUUACUGGGCGUAAAGCGCUCGUAGGUGGUAUGUCAAGUCAAGGGUGAAAUCCCCGCGCUCAACGUGGGAACUGCCUUUGAAACUGGCAAACUGGAGUGUGUGAGAGGAUAGUGGAAUUCCAGGUGUAGGAGUGAAAUCCGUAGAUAUCUGGAGGAACAUCAGUGGCGAAGGCGACUAUCUGGAACAUAACUGACGCUGAGGAGCGAAAGCGUGGGUAGCAAACAGGAUUAGAUACCCUGGUAGUC